rnacentral:lncRNA from 1 species
CAUUCAAAUGGGCUUCUAUAUUCCGAAAUGACCCAGCCUUUUCCUUCCCAGCUUGAUUGUCCCAGACCUUUACACUUGGUCGUUUCAACUCUCUUUACACUUCGUCGUUGUCUUAAAGUCACUUCCCCUUCCUCUUAUUGUUCCUUCUUUCUUUUCACCUUCCUAUUUACUUAUAAUUGAUUUUUGUUUUGUUUACAGAUCAAAGAAGGAACCGGGAAGGAGAAGAAGUGGUGUUACAGAGCGGUGUCUCCGGCUUCGUCUCUCACUCACUCUCCGUGUUCUGAUUCCGGUUUUGUUUUUCUGUUCUUAGUAAAAAAGGCGGAGUAGGCUGAAGAAGCUUGAUGAUCAUGGUCUCGGCGUCAACAAUGGUGAUCUCGGCGUCAACAGUGGUGGUCUCGACUUCAUCAAUGGUAGCUUAGCGUGGUGGAUGAGGCUGAAUAAGCUUACCUAUGGUGUUCUUGGCUGCUGGUCUCGGCCUCAGAGAUGAAAAAACCGAAGGAGCUGAAGUUGACGGCGAAGAAGAUGAAGUUGACGGAAAAAAGUUUAGAUGUAGGGAUAAUUUUUUUUUUAAUUAGUUUACACUUUUUAGGGUUACAUUUCCAAACCGGGUUUUGUAAACCAGAAUUAAUUAUAUUUGGUAGUUUUAAUUUUUAAUUAAUUUCGAUUCCAACAUAUAAAAGCUAAUUAUAUAUUAUAAAGAAAUUUGUAUAAUUUAAUGUGUUCUAAAUUUUUAAAAACUAUAAAGAGUUUUGGAGAAUUUGGGGAGUACGAAUUUUUUUAAGAAAAAUUUAAUGUGUUCUAAA